AAAAUGAUCAUCUUCUCCAUAUUGUUCUGCCAAUUUUUGCUCUCCUUCAUAGCUGGGGUUUCUUCAACUUUCAAACUUCAUAUAAUCAAGAGAAACGAGAUUCAAGUCGUGAUCGAGGGAAAAACAAAGUUUACGAGGAAUAGGCUCGAUUGUUAAAAAUUUUGUACCGAGUUUUGAACAAGCCGGCUUAGGAAUCGGGACAGGUCGAAGGUUCGAUCACACUAUCCGAAGGACUCUUUUUGGUAAAUGGCUUGUAAAACUUAAGUAUGGCAUGUAUAGCAAUACACCUAUUUUGUGUAAAUAAUUUUGUGAUAUGGCCAUGAUUUGGUUGAGAAAAUGCUUAAUAAUGAUAAGUCAUGGAAAAUGCUAAGUUAGAUCA